CAGAGUAGGGCACAGCGCGUUAAGUGCCGUGGGAUGGGAAGUUGCCCACGGACGAAGAGGGGAAACCUUCGCGGUGCUAUGCCCGCGUCCGCUGC
rnacentral:ncRNA from 1 species